CUACGGAGGAUGCGAGCGUUAUCCGGAUUUAUUGGGUUUAAAGGGUGCGUAGGCUGUGCGUUAAGUCAGGGGUGAAAUGCCGUCGCUCAACGACGGAGCUGCCCUUGAUACUGGCGUGCUGGAGUACGGAUGCCGUUGGAGGAAUGAGUGGUGUAGCGGUGAAAUGCUUAGAUAUCACUCAGAACACCGAUUGCGAAGGCAUCUGACGAAUCCGUCACUGACGCUGAGGCACGAAAGCGUGGGGAUAGAACAGGAUUAGAUACCCUGGUAUUCCACGCCGUAAACGAUGAUGACUAACCGUCGGCGAUAGACAGCCGGUGGCCAAGCGAAAGCGAUAAGUCAUCCACCUGGGGAGUACGUCGGCAACGAUGAAACUCAAAGGAAUUGACGGGG
rnacentral:rRNA from 1 species